rnacentral:rRNA from 1 species
GCUCCUACGGGACGCAGCAGUGAGGAAUAUUGGUCAAUGGGCGCGAGCCUGAACCAGCCAAGUAGCGUGAAGGAUGACUGCUCUACGGGUUGUAAACUUCUUUUAUAAAGGAAUAAAGUGAGGCACGUGUGCCUUUUUGUAUGUACUUUGUGAAUAAGGAUCGGCUAACUCCGUGCCAGCAGCCGCGGUAAUACGGAGGAUCUGAGCGUUAUCCGGAUUUAUUGGGUGUAAAGGGAGAGUAGAU